rnacentral:tRNA from 1 species
GUGGCCAUAGCUCAGCUGGUUAGAGUGCCAGGUUGUGGCCCUGGAGGUCGAGGGUUCGAAUCCCUCUGGCCACCCCG